CGUGUAGGCGGUUGGUCAAGUCUGGUGUGAAAGCCCGGGGCUUAACCCCGGAAGUGCGCUAGAAACUAGCCAGCUAGAGCGCGAGAGAGGAGGGUGGAAUUCCUGGUGUAGCGGUGAAAUGCGUAGAUAUCAGGAGGAACACCGGCGGCGAAGGCGGCCCUCUGGCUCGUUGCUGACGCUGAAACGCGAAAGCGUGGGGAGCAAACA
rnacentral:rRNA from 1 species